UCCUGCUCAGCUCAGCCUUGGUGGUGAAUCAUGCUGCCCCUGCUGUGCCACUUCCAGGCUCUCUGGGCUCCCACGCUCUGCUGCGGAGGCCCAGGCUGGCUCCCUCUCAGGGUGAGUGCUGCUUCUGGAGGGUGGAGGUGAGGGGAAGGGACUAAGGGUGGCCCUGAGGGGCCUUGCUGGAGCAGCAGUGGGGACCACACACAUCUGAGGGUCUGGGUAAGUGGGGGCUGCAGCCAGGCCUGGGGCAGGCUGGGGACAGCCUUUUCCCCAGCCUGGCUGGCCUGGGGGAUCGGGAGGGUCUGCGAAUCAAGCUCUGGGACUCCUUGAGGUUCCAGGAAGAACCCCGCCUGUCCCAGCAAAGGUGGAUCCAGGAGAGGAGUGGGCUUGGCCACCUCGGCUGCCACCAGAAGCUGCCCCUUCAGCUCCUAUCUGUUCCCCUCUGCCCCUGGAGCUUCUGAAACCACUUCCCUCCUCCCUGGACUUCUGCAGGCCAAGGGGUGCACAGGUAGGCGCUGGGGCAGGGGAAGUCAUGGACUUGCUCACCACUCCGAAAAGCUCUCACUCCUCAGGAAAGCUCUCAAAAGCAAAGCUCUGCACCCCAGUGCCUAGCAUAGCUUCUGGCCUCAAGCAGGUUUCAGGUAAGGUUUGAAUGAGUGAUUGAGGGAAACAGGUGCUGGCUUGGAGAAGGUGCUGUGGGAUAGAAGGCACUGAGCUGGGUCUUGAAUGGACAGGGUUUGAGCCAUCAGCCAUGGAGGAAGGGCCGUCCACAAGCAGAGACUCAAGGUAGAGAAGCACAGAGUGACCAGGGAUGCUACAGCUGGGCCAGCUGGGUGGGGGACGAUGGAGGGAAGAUGUCAAACAGGGAGGAGGAGAAAAAAAUUACGCAGAGAGGGGCAGGACCCUGGCAACAAUUGCACUGAAGUGCUUUAGACAUUUCCAGAAAUCCAGUGUUCUUCUCCCCUGGGCAGCGCCUACAAGGGAAAGCAAAAGCCUGCAAGCUUCGGGGUCGUUCAGUGCCUGGCCCUCUCCUGGCCUGGAAAGAGGAACAGAGGAAGGCCAGCAGGGCUGGGUGGUCUCCCGAUCACAAGUAUGCAUUUCCCAGGCAUCUGGGCAGUGAUGGAAUUGUCAGCCUGGAAGUCACCUCGAAGGAGAAAUGACCGUGUACCUCAGACAGAACAGACCCCAGGCCUCAGUGUGGAGCACUCACUACCCAAGAGCUCAGGGUCCUAGGGGUGGAGUCCAGGGCCACUGGGUGGCAGGGCCAGGAGGAGCAGCCGGGUCUACACAGGAUGGCACCGUGCAGUGGUGGUGAUGCUGAGCAGGGCCCAGUGAGUGCUUGCUGGGUGAUCGCCGCGGGCUGGCAUGGCACUGGCACUUCACACUCCUCAUUGCUUUUGAGUUUUGGGAGAGGUGAGGUGACCUGCCCAGUGGAGGAAGGCUGAUCUGAUCUGACAUAGGCCUGUCCUGUCUCGCGUUGGUUCCUGGCCUGUGUACUGGGCUCACCUGGAGGCUUUAAAAAUAUACAGAGGCUCAGGCUUCACCCCCCAA